rnacentral:lncRNA from 1 species
GUAUGAAUUUAAUAUUUUUUAGUAUUACAAUAUAUUCUUAUAAAAAAGGUGCAAGUGAAAAAGGACACUGUAGAUUAUGUCCAUUAGCCUCAUUUGUCAUCUGAGGCAGCUGGUGAGAACAGCCUUGGCGUGAAGGCAUCCCUGGUAGAAGUCGGGGGAGAUAGAUAGUCACAGUUCCCCAGUUGGUGGAAAUGGGAUGGGAGUAGGGAGAGGCUGGAACAGACCCUUCCCCAUUCACCUGGAGAAUUUUCUCCUCCCACUGCCCUAAACACUUUAUUUCCAUCACAGGGGAGAAAUGCUGCUGAGAAGGUUGUGUUUGUUAGGUUGAUGACGAAUUUUACAUUGGCCACAAAAUUAGCUAGAGAAACUUAUCUAAAGGUGGCAGGAGCAGUGGGGAGGGCAUGAAGAAAGCAAGACCAAGAAACAACCUAUUAAGGACCAGCUCAGCCACCCCGACUGGGCACCAGCCCCUUCUUACUCAGUUGAGUAUGAGUCCAUGGUCCAAGGCACUGUUGGAGAUCUGGCUACAGUGGCAUCUAGCACCAGAGCCACUGGCCAGAUGUAGAAAAUAAAUAGAAAAAUAUCUUUCUUUUAGAGUGAGAAGGCUGAGCUCUGGAACAACGUAUUUGUGUCCUCUGUCAACAGUUGAACCAAAUUCUGCUUUUCUGAAGAUCAAAUGUAUCUUGAACAGCUUCCAUAGUCCUUUUGUUUCCAGGUGCGUAUCCAGUCUUCCAUGGUGGGUGGGAAUGCCAGACACGCUUGUGGAGCCCUCCCCUGUUCCCUGCCCCUGAGGGGGUUAGGUUGACAUCAGCCUGGUCAGUUUGGGAGAGGACCUUUAGAGGCCUCACCCACAACCUCCCAUCUUCCCCAACACUUGUCUUGCAGUGGGAGCUCUUGGGGCUGCAGAUGCAUAUAGCCAAACUCUCUGCAGCUGUUCUGCCUGGAAGCCUUCAUCUUGCCCUCACCUGGGUUCCAGGAUGGCCUCUUCACACCUGUGUCAGCCAGGCUUGCACUUGCUCAGAUCCCUCCCACCAGAACACACACACACCGCCCGCCCCCUCAAACCAACGCACAUGCUGGCUCAUUGAUGGUAGAGGUUAGGCAGGGCCAGUCUCAAAGAAGAUGAAAGGCCAACUCGGAACGUGGUAUUGAAUAAGAGCCUUGAUGGAGUUUUAGAAAAAUUUUGUCUAGAUACAGCCAUCCCAUCCACCAAGGCCAGCAUGAGAUGGACAAAAUGGAAGGUGGCAGUGGAUGGGAGGACCAGAAGGAACCCCUUGCAAGUUGGGCUGAAGAACCAAAUUGGGUACCAGAAAUGGGGUGGCCCCCCUCUCAGCCUUCCUCCUUGGCACCUUCAGGUGAUGUGCUCCCCAGAGGAUAUCAGCCUUCCUCCUCCAUCCCCAUCUCCCCAGUUUCCCUUGCCUGCUCUGCUGUUCGCACCAUCUGAACGCCUGAGAGGAGGGGCCACCCUUAGAGACAGCAUGUUAAUGUAGAGGGCAGCUCUGGCCCUCAGACCUCUCAGGAACCAACUCCCCAACGCCAGUGGACACAUGGUUCCAAGUGGCCACCUGCAGGCUGGACAGAGGCUGCUGUGGCUUCUGCCUUGAAGCUAGUGUUAGAGAAGGGGUGGGAGGGCCUGAGCAAUUUAUAUGAAGUAGAGAACUAUGGGAUGGAGCUAAGCAUUCAAGUGCUGCCCUCUGCUGAGGGGCUGUAGGGGACUCCAAGGCAACAUUUGAGGUCACUGUCUGGCUUCACAACAAUGGCCAGGUGUCCAGGAGAUGGGGACAUGG